GGAUUAUCGGUCUCUGCUUCUGUCAACACAAAAGCAAUGUAUUUCCCUUUUGGAGCUACAUUGUGGGAAUAGGAGCAGCAAAACAGUUUCUCCUUCGGAAGUCACACCAAAGGCCUUUCCGUUUUCGAACUCUACCUGCCAUUUGGCAACAUCCGCAUUGUAGAUACCAGAUUCAAUUUGUUGGUUACCACAUAUACUUGAAAUUUGAGAAA